GACGAACGCUGGCGGCGUGCUUAACACAUGCAAGUCGAACGUAAAGGCCCUGCUUUUGUAGGGUGCUCGAGUGGCGAACGGGUGAGUAACACGUGAGUAACCUGCCCUUGACUUUGGGAUAACUUCAGGAAACUGGGGCUAAUACCGGAUAGGAGCUCCUGCUGCAUGGUGGGGGUUGGAAAGUUUCGGCGGUUGGGGAUGGACUCGCGGCUUAUCAGCUUGUUGGUGGGGUAGUGGCUUACCAAGGCUUUGACGGGUAGCCGGCCUGAGAGGGUGACCGGCCACAUUGGGACUGAGAUACGGCCCAGACUCCUACGGGAGGCAGCAGUGGGGAAUAUUGCACAAUGGGCGGAAGCCUGAUGCAGCAACGCCGCGUGCGGGAUGACGGCCUUCGGGUUGUAAACCGCUUUCGCCUGUGACGAAGCGUGAGUGACGGUAAUGGGUAAAGAAGCACCGGCUAACUACGUG
rnacentral:rRNA from 1 species